rnacentral:RNase_P_RNA from 1 species
UGAGUCGGCUAGGCGGUCGCCGCGCGUUCGGUCUCGAUCGGAGGUGCGGAGGAAAGUCCGGGCUCCACAGGACAAGGUGCCAGGUAACACCUGGGGGGCGCGAGCCUACGGAAAGUGCCACAGAAAAUAUACCGCCUGGGUGCAUCGGGUGGGCCGUUCGCGGCGAAUCGGGUGCGCUUCGGUAAGGGUGAAAUGGUGCGGUAAGAGCGCACCGCGCCGGCCAACGCCGGUGGCAGGGUAAACCCCACUUGGAGCAAGACCAAAUAGGGAAGUGUGCUGCUGUGCAGCAAAGCGUUGUCCGCGUUAACUUCCGGGUAGGUCGCUACAGGCAUAUGGUGACAUAUGUCGCAGAUGAAUGGCCGUUACUCGACCGAUGUGUUGAGAACAGAACCCGGCUUAUCGGCCGACUCACACC